UAGGGAAUCUUCGGCAAUGGACGAAAGUCUGACCGAGCAACGCCGCGCGAGUGAAGAAGGUUUUCGGAUCGUAAAACUCUGUUGGUAGAGAAGAACGUUGGUGAGAGUGGAAAGCUCAUCAAGUGACGGUAACUACCCAGAAAGGGACGGCUAACUACGUGCCAG
rnacentral:rRNA from 1 species